rnacentral:lncRNA from 1 species
AUGGGUCGCAGAAGGGCCCGCCUAUGGGCACUUUUCCAGUGCUGCUACCCCAAGGCAAAGGCCAAGACAAGGAAGAACUUGGCCUCGGCCCAAGUCCUGGAAGCAGAGUGGCCUGAGGAGUUGGCAACAUCUACGGAAGAAUUCAAAAUGUGCUGGAAGCAGCUUCUUGCAAGAGAGGAGGAAAUGGCUGUGCUCAUAGCAGAAAGGGACCACACCAGGCUGCUGCUGGAGCACCUGGAAUGCCUGGUUUCCCAGUACAUACCGUCCCUGCAGAUGAUGGCGGGCAAGUGGCAGGCGCAGUCCCCAGCCGGCAUGACCAGAGAGCUCGAGGUGCUCAAGGCAUUGAAGUCACUCUUUGAGCACCACAAGGCCCUGGACAAGAAGGCUAUGGCCCAGAAGGAGGACAUGGAGAAGAGAAUCACUCCACUUGAGAAACGCUACCUCGCUGCACAGCGCGAAGCCAUCUCUGUGCACAACCUCGAUGAUAAACUUGAAAAUGAAAUCGCAAAUAAGGAUUCUAUGCAUCAACAGGUCAAACCUGCUUCAGCCACGUCUGUAAGGAAGGAUGAAAUUGACCAGCAGUCAUCAGCCCCACUGGAAGGGAGCCUCCAACAGAACUUAUGUCUACCAGGUAGAUUCUAAGACUGGUCUCCAACCCUUGUCUUCCUGUCUAUGCAUCUAUUUUUGGCUGUGCUGGGG